rnacentral:rRNA from 1 species
UACAGAGGUGGCAAGCGUUGUUCGGAAUUACUGGGCGUAAAGGGCGCGUAGGUGGCCUUCUUAGUCAGACGUGAAAUCCCCGGGCUUAACUCGGGAACUGCGUCUGAUACUGGAUGGCUUGAAUUCGGGAGAGGGAUGCAGAAUUCCAGGUGUAGCGGUGAAAUGCGUAGAUAUCUGGAGGAAUACCGGUGGCGAAGGCGGCAUCCUGGACCGACAUUGACGCUGAACGGCGAAAGCUAGGGGAGCAAACGGGAGU